CGAGCAGGUGCGAAAGCAGGUCAUAGUGAUCCGGUGGUUCUGAAUGGAAGGGCCAUCGCUCAACGGAUAAAAGGUACUCCGGGGAUAACAGGCUGAUACCGCCCAAGAGUUCAUAUCGACGGCGGUGUUUGGCACCUCGAUGUCGGCUCAUCACAUCCUGGGGCUGAAGUAGGUCCCAAGGGUAUGGCUGUUCGCCAUUUAAAGUGGUACGCGAGCUGGGUUUAGAACGUCGUGAGACAGUUCGGUCCCUAUCUGCCGUGGGCGCUGGAGAACUGAGGGGGGCUGCUCCUAGUACGAGAGGACCGGAGUGGACGCAUCACUGGUGUUCGGGUUGUCAUGCCAAUGGCACUGCCCGGUAGCUAAAUGCGGAAGAGAUAAGUGCUGAAAGCAUCUAAGCACGAAACUUGCCCCGAGAUGAGUUCUCCCUGAGACUUAGAGUCUCCUGAAGGAACGUUGAAGACGACGACGUUGAUAGGCCGGGUGUGUAAGCGCAGCGAUGCGUUGAGCUAACCGGUACUAAUGAACCGUGAGGCUUAACCUUACAACGCCGAAG
rnacentral:rRNA from 1 species